rnacentral:tRNA from 1 species
UCCUUGUUGGCUCAGAUGGUAGAAGCCUUUGCUUGCAAUGCAGGAGGCCCAGGUUUGAUCCCUGGGUUGGGAA